CGACGGUGAGAGAACGUUUGACGAAUGAAGCGUCAAAUAUCACGGCGGCAGCAUCAUGAGCUGCUCCGACUCCUUUUCCAACGUAAACGCUGCUUGAUGAGACGGGUUGCCAUGGGGACGCCAUUUUUUUUAAUCCUUUUUAAUUUCUGUUAGUUUGUUGAGAUUCACCUUAAUUAGUUACUUAUAGUAUAUGUCUACAGCUUACGACACGUCGUCAUUCAUG
rnacentral:misc_RNA from 1 species